UCCGGAUUAGCUCAGUGGUAGAGUAGGUGACUGUUAAUCACUUGGUCGCUGGUUCGAAUCCAGCAUCCGGAG
rnacentral:tRNA from 1 species